rnacentral:lncRNA from 1 species
AGAAGUUACUUCUAUUAUGGAUUUUUACUCUCCUGCAAACCAAGAAAUAAAUCAGGUGCACACAUAGCAAACCUCACUUCUGCCACAGCUCCUUUGUGAUGCAGUGAGGAGGCAGGAUCGGACCGCAUCAUAUUUGAGUCAGGAUCAAAUGAAGUCCCAUUAAUCCAAGGCUGAGAAAGAGGUCUUUGGGAUGUCAGGCACUGAUAGCAGAGGAUAGGGAGAAACAAAUCCAUCAGGAGUCCAAGGAACCCGUCAGCCAGGCUUUAAGGGAUAUAGAAAUGCAGUGCGAUUGUAAUAGGAUGUAAAUAAAUCUCCCUUUGGAUGUAGGUGAAAUUAGUUCUAGCAUCCAGAUUUCAAGAUCCCUGAGAAUUGCUGUCCUUCUCCUUAUAAAACAUAAUGCCCUCUACAUAAUCAACUCUGUUUCCAGCCCAGCCCCAACGGCUAUAGUCCAGCUAAGCCACCCUUGUGGAGGAGGAGAUUAUCAUCUCUACCACUACCUACCCCCAGAUCCUGACAAACUCCCACCAAUGGGCAGGUAAGCCUAAGAAGCUUGGGAAGAACAAUGGUCCCCCAGACCCCCAACCCUAUUCCUAGCCCAGAUCUCCAAAGCCAUCAUCUAAAAUAAUAAUCCUUGUGGAGAUGAACCCUCACCACUGUUUCUACUGCCCUUAUCUCCUCAGAAGUCACACAUACCAAAGAUCUGGAUGUGCUGAACACCAAAGGCCUUGGAACUUCCAAAUGGUUCAACAUCAGAAAUAGAUAUGGUUUAUUGGAUCAUAAUCUCCUUGAGACCUCCCAAUCCUGGGCAGUUUCUGUACAGACAACACUGUGUCACACAAAUGCCAGUUCCUUUUGGGUUACCUGCCUGACACCAGACAGACACCUCCCAGCUGUUCAAAGGAAGCAUCUGCAUAGCCAAACAGCUGCGUGCAUCUUUGCUCAGGAGUUGUAAGGUGCUAGAGAAUAAAACAGCAGGUGUGAGCCCCA